rnacentral:lncRNA from 1 species
AGUCAUUGUAAAAAUACAUCGACAUCUUCGUUACUAUAGUUUUGGUGUAUAAAUGUCUAAUUAAUGUCUCAAAUUUUAGAAAUAUGUGCAUUUAUAUUUUUUAUUUAAUUCAAAACUAUAUUAAUGGAAAUGUCCAUUUCUUUUAAUAUAUAUACAUUUUAAAAAGCAUGUUAUUAAAUUAAUUAGUUAAGUUUUAAUUUUUAGGAUUUGAUCCUUAAACCUUUUUAUUAGUAUUUAAUUAAUCUCUUAGCUUGCCAAAACCAUUGUCUGCAUGAGAAAUAAUUCUAAGGUAAUUAAAUUGGAUAAUGGUUCUCUUGUUUCCUUGAGUGAAUAAACCUCUAAAGGGAAGAAAGAAAAAGGAGAUAAAAUAUGUCCUAGGUGUGAUGGACAAAUGAAGAGAAAGAUAGAGUUUAAGUAAGGUGGUACUAAUAAGGAGUGUGAAAAAUGGCUUAAAUAAUUGAAUUUAUCCAAAAUAUAAUUUGGGUGACCUUAACAUGAUCGACUUAUUACACUAUAAAGUGUCCCUAACAUGCAAUAUGCUCUCUUUUUCAAAAACAUGCAAUAUGCUUCAUCUAAUUGGGCUGCAAAGAAGUAAUUAAUGAGCGAUGAUACAAAUUAUUAUAAUUAACCAAAUAAGAACCUAGCUAGUGACUACACAAAGAUACAAAAAGUUUACUACCAAGAGAAUUUUUUAAUGUAUAAAAAGUGAGAUAAAAAAUUAAGUCUAAAAUUAGAACAUAGUAUAAAAUUUAUUCAUACUUUACCCGUGUAUGGUUAUUAUAUAAAUGUGAAGUAUGCAGGAUUUUAGGGAAAUAUAUUUCAUAAAAACAAUUAAGGGAACAAAGAAAAACUAAGCAUUAAAUAAUGAAGACAUAUUUUGAUAAAGAUUCGAUCUAAGCAUUAAACAAUGAAAAAAGAGGGCCCAUGGGAUUAUGCCAAAAUCUUAUACACACCAACAACUCCUUAUCGAACUACCACUUUGAGUCCUCUCUUUGAUCACUGAAAGCAAAUAAUUAUUUUACAAAAUUGAUGAAAGCCAAUAAUCAAAACCAUACAAUGGGGCCACCCUCAAUUAAUGCAAACUGUCUCAUGGGUUUGUCCACUUCUUAUCAUCAUCAUAUAUAAUUCUUGUGAAUACGAUCGUACUAUUAAAAAGGUGCUAUAUUCCCGGAAAAUCUUUGAGAAAACAUGAACAAUAGAUAUGCAAAAUUUAAUGCUAGAGAAUUUUUGCAUUGAUGCAUAAAUCACUUGAAGAAAUAAAUUAACCAUUGACCAUUAUAAGAGUAUUGUACAAAAUAUAUAUUGCCCUAGUUGACCGUAAAAUUUGAUAGAGAAAAAAUUAUCUCUCUCAUAACUUAAUGGUAUACAACCAUGCAAUUAUAUAUAUUAUGGACUUGAAAAACAUACAAAACUGACUCAAAAAUAUUCAUCAUAAUGAAAGAAGAAGAAGAAGAAGAAAAAGUUGUACAAAGUUAUAAAACAAUGCAUAAAAUUCCAAGACAAAAGAAAACAAAACCAAGCAAGUUCAACUCAUGUGAGAACAAACACAGUAUCACACUGUGCUGGUUUAACAACAUGUGAAUGGGAAUAAGCAUAAAAGUGGCGUUGUUCCCAAAGCACAACAAAAGAAAAUAAGUUGAGAUUGUUUUGGUUUUUUUGUAUUUCAUCUUAAAAACAUUUUCAAUUUUUUGAACCCCAUUUAUACACUGUACUCACGUGCAAGCAGUCUACACUGCCAUAUCCUCCACUAAAACCCACGCAUAAACUAACACAACAAAAAGCUUCAAUGGUCUUGCCCUAUUUUAACUUUUGUUUACGACCAUUUUCUUCAACAACCUUUGUUUGUUAUUUUUCAUUUUUAUUUUAAAAAUUACUCAAAUUUACUAUUCUUGGCAUCCAUAAGAAUCUAGGUGAGGACAAUGUGUGUGUUACAUUCUUCAUGGUCUAAUCAAAAUGCUGCUUAGAAAGCUUUAAUUAAUUAUUAUUUGCUCAAAAACUAUUUUAUAACAAUUAUAAAUUGUCAAAAAUUAAAGACAAAUGUAAUUUAAAACUUUGGCACCAAAUUAAAAUGCAUCAAUAGAUUGAACCAAAUUUUAAUAUUGUUGAAGAUAAAAAUUUUGCAAUUUUAAUUAUAUUAACAAAAUGGUGUAACUUUCAUUCUGUCAAACAAAAAAAUAGAUCAACCAUGGGUAAUGUGUAUUAACAUGCAUAUGUUAAGUUUCUUUCAAGUUUAUGGAUUAAUACCACAAAAGAGAAUCAACUAGAGGGUUGUCUAAUACAAAACCAGUUUCAAUUAUGGAUCACCCUAUUUUAAGCAAAUUUUAAUCAAUUUUUUUUUUU